rnacentral:tRNA from 2 species
GGCCUGGUGGCCUAAUAGUAAGGCGUUGCUUUCCGGUACUGUGCUAUACUAAACAGUGGCAUUGGCAAAGAUUGCGGGUUCGAGUCCCGUCUGGGUCG